AAGAUAAAUCGAGCAAUCGCCGUGUCCCUUUGGGGCAGGGAGGAAAGUCCGGACACUCAUCGCCCUUGAGGCGAAAAGAUAGUGGGUAACACCCAUCUAAGUUAUUUCAUUUUUGUGAUAUAAUAAAGAGGUGCGAGCAGAGACGAUUUCACUUGCGAAAGUGAAAUCAUCCCGACUUGUCGGGAUGAGCCCCAACAGUAAUGCUGGGGGUGAAACGGCAAAAUCCUUAUUUGAGUGCAAGGUCGUGUUCAUUUUUCAUUGAUUUAUCGAUGAAAAGUGAGAGUGCCGCUUAUGAUCAUAUUGGCAACAAUAUGGCUAGAUAAAUGGUUGCAAAUCAGCUUUCGAGCUGAUGAAACAGAAUCCGGCUUACAGAUUUAUCUUAAUA
rnacentral:RNase_P_RNA from 1 species